rnacentral:lncRNA from 1 species
UAAGGUUGUAAGCGUUGCUCAAUCUCUCCAAGCAGUCAGUGUUUAAUAUUUUGUGUUUGUUUUAUUAUUUUCCUGCCCAGAUACGGGCCAUAACGUUAAUUGGAUUGAACGUUAUCUUCUCAUUUUUUUUAUCCAUUAUUUUGUGUAUCGCUCUUAGAUUAUUUAUGAUAAUAAUCUAACUUUAAAGGGAAUUUUGGUGUUUUAAUUUAGGCUGUAAUAGACACAAUUUACCUCUACACAUCACAGGUCGCCCUAUGGUAGAGACAAAUCAAUAUAUUAUCAGUCCUUAAAAUGGUAUGAAUAAAUACUGACUAGAGAUGAUGAAAGAUGGUCAAUGUUGAAAGAAAUAAAGAAAAGGUACAGUUUGCGUCUCAUGGUCCUGUUGUCUUCCCAAAGCAAUAUUUUCAUUGCAAAGACGUUUGUAAUUUCGAAAAUGUAUACAAAUAAAAUGGAAGUUUACGGAGCAGGGAAAUGGAGGAAAAGGAAGAAGAAAGGUGGAAUAAGAAGAAUAUAAAGAUAAAAUAGCAAAUGAACAACUCGAGAAUACCACUACAUAUCUGAGUAAGAGGUGUGGCUUUUUUGGAUGGAUAUCAACUAUAAGAAUUUAUGAGAAAUUUUAAGUGAGGUCAUUGCAGUGCAGUUUGUGGGAUAACAGUAUUUUACACUACACAUUCCUUGUAAAAAUGGAAUAUUUUCCAAAUACUGUUGGAUGAUUUUGAUGUUUGUAGAACAGUAGUACAAGAUAAUAUGCUAUAUAUCUCAUGUCCUUAGUUUUUCAACUAUUGUAACAAAAAGUGGAAAAAGAAACAUUCAUUGAGAAAAUGUACGCGAUUUAAUACUACACAUCAGCACACUGUCGCCAGCGACAGAAUCGGCAGGGAUAUUAUUAAUUAACUUGAGGGCAGUUACAAUGAAUUUUCUUCUGAAAAAGAGAGCUAGAUCAUCUCCCGAACUUGAUUUUCUGCCUUACGAUGACCUAUCUGGCAUAUAUAGGCACCCAAGGGAGUCACCACCCUCUGGUGUACAAGGCUAGGUGCUCUAAUGCUAGAGGCUUCGGCCAGAUAAGACCUGGCACCCAAGCUACAAGAUUUCUUCAUGCACUUCACAUUUGAAGAUGAGGAGGGGAUGAGUAGUAUUUCAGUAGAUUGUUUAACUUAUGAAGCAAUUUAGAAACUGGAAUUUGCUUGUAAAAAAUGAAAUACUGCAGUAUGGUCUAAAAACUGGUCUGUCUUCUCAUAUCUCACAAUGUAGCAGCUGUAAAAUUAGAUUAUCCUAGCUGAUGAUACAGUCUUGAAGUGGCAACAAGUGGCAGUGUUACAAAUGGAAUACUACAAUAACAUUUUCCUGACACCCUUGGCUAACCUCCCAUAUGUUGAUGGAACAGCAGCAGUAUAUUGUCUUGACUUCAUCACAAAUCUCAAAAUUGAUAGACUACCAAUAUUCUUCUUAACAGUAAGAAACAAAACAAAGUUUUUUCUCUUUUUCAACUUUAUUCACUUACAUGUUUUGACGCAAGUAACAAUUCUACACUGACUACGCUGUCAUAAUUAUUUGUAUAUCUAUUUACUAAUUUUUGUAGUGCUUAUGACACCUUUCAUAUUUUUUUAAUUCUUAUUGUUUCUAAUUAACAGCCACUAGAAUUUCCAGAUUAUCACAGUUCUUUGUUAUAUUUUACUUGCGCAAAAGCGUCACUGUGGCUAUAUGAAUACAUUAUUUUUUUAAAGACAUCAACAUUUUGUUUUUAAUGCUCUUGUAAUUUACAGUCCAUUGCUGUCAACUGUUCAUAUGGUAAAUCUGAGUUUAACAUUUUUUUAAUAUUAAUUUAUAUAGUAGUAAUUCUAAUUUAACUUUUUCAUUCAUAGAAAUAUUUAAUAUACAUAUAAACUAUACUAUGGCAUAAGAUUUUAUUAUCAUUAUUAUUUUUUUAAGUUUUUAAAAUUGUUCCAUAAAUUAAUUAGACAUAUUGCAGAUUUUUUAGCGAAUUUCUGUCUUCCUUGGGACUCCUGGACAACCCAACCCAAAAAAAACUAUUUUUAUUUUGUAAUGAAGUGUGUUUUUUUCAUUAAAAAUAUUCUCAUUUUUUAUUACAGCAACUAAAUUAACUAACUAAACUAUUAUCUAAUACGUUUACUCAGAUUUGUUUAGUCAGUUUCAAAGUAAUGUUCUGUUUAGUAAAUUAUAUUUUGUGAGAUUUGCAUUAAUAGAGCUACUUUUAAGAAUUAAAAUAAGCACUCUAGAGGUUUUUAAUUGUUUAUCAUAAGCAGGUUCGUUAACUUUCAUAACAUAUAAUUAACUAAUAAUGGUAAUUUAAAUUUUUUAAGUAUAUAUUUCUAGUAAUAAAUUUUAAAUAGUAUUAUUAAAAAAUACUACUUAAAAUUUAUUAUUACGUAUUUUUUAGAAAGGGGUUUUGCUUAAUAAUUUAAGUUACAUUAGUUAAUUAUUAUGUUAAUAAAAUAUAGAGUGUAUUAGUUAUAACGCCGAUAGAGUUUUUCUAAUGGGUAUGCAACCAAACAUACAUUAAUGGUAUCCUGUAUGCCGAUUAACUUUUUUUUUAAUUAUUAUUAUUUUAUUUUAUUAAAAAUGAUUAAAUUCAAUUAGAGUACAUAUUUCAGUUAAGUAAUAUAUAUGCUAAUAUACUUUAUUACUACAAAAACACUACUUUUAUUGUUGUAUUAUUGCAACUUUAAAUUUUCAAUUUUCAUGUCUAUUUGUAUUAAUUGUUUUAGCCGUUUAUUUUUUUACCUCAGUACAGUUAUACAGUUUACAGCUGAUAAUGCAGUAAUACACAAAUAGAAUUAAUUUUUUAAUAUACGUACAUAAAUGACACACUUUAGCCGAAUAUAUUUUAUUUCUGUAAAACUAUAUUAUGAGCAAUAUGAAUACAUUUAAAUUUGUCUCAGUACGCAUUUUUAAUGUCUUUUCGGUAUACACUGCAUUGCUUUUAAUGAUACAUACAUAUUUCUUGGUAAAACCCUUAUUUAAGUUUUUUUAAUUAUUCAUUAUUAACCUAUUUUAUUAAUCUCAUUUUUUAAAGCAAAACAGUAUAAAGAAUAAGGUGGUAUUUAUUGAUGAUUGGUAAUAUUUUAGAUUUUUAAAUUUUUAUCAUAUAUUUUGAGAUGUUUGAGACUUUUAUAUUGCUAAUUUUAGAAUUUUUUAUAUUUGAUUGUUACGUCUUUUUUAAAUUAGAGAUAUUAAUAUAAACAAAAACAUAUUGAGUAAAAUUUUUAGUGUUAGUGUCAAAGCAAUGAACUGUUAUAACUAUAAAAUUUUGUUGUACUUGUAUUCAUAGAGCUUGGAAUUUAUAGAGAAAUAGUAUUUUGAAGCAAAUUAUAUAAAUGAAACCGACAAAUGCAUUGGUAUAAUAUAUUAUAGAUUUAUGUUAAAUAGGAGCGAUCUGAAGAUCUGUGCUUUCUAUUUACACGAGGUAAAAUAUAUAUUUUAAUCUACUAACAAUUUGAUUUAAAAACCAUAAUGAUAUUAUAACUCCGUUUUAUGUAUAUAUUAUAUUUAAUAACGCAUUUCUCAAUAUUUACGUUCUUCACAUUUGAUUUUCCUUUUUUUUUACUUCAUGCAAUUUAAUUUACUCCUGUUUUUUACGAUAAAAAUAUUAAGUUCUGAGUAUACAAUCUUAUACAAUUGAGUCCAUCAGCACAUUUUGAUAUAUUUCUUAUAUAUGGGUCCAAUAAGAGAAUAUAGGUUCAAAGAUCGCUACUAUUCAAUAUAUUUUUAUUAUUUAUGUUUUACUUACUGUGUAGGUAAACCAGUCUAUUGUUUCUGUAUCAUAUUUUAUAUUAGGAUAUAUUUGAUAUUAAUAAAAUGUCAGUAUUUUUGUUUCUUUGAAAGAUCUCAUACAUUGCAAUUAUGCAGGGAGUGUUCUAGGUGAAAUCAUUGGUGUGGUGAUAGGGCUCCAAAGCUCACCCUGUAAACUGAUUAAUUUAUUUGGCACUUACACUCUUACAUUUUAUAUAAAAAUUCUACCACUUUUUGUUGCUAAAUUUUAUAUAGGUACUUUUUUAAUUUUUUACAAUUUAUUUGAUCUAAAAUAUAAAAUCAUUUUAUUAUAAUUCCGUUUCAUAUAAUUAAUAUAAUAUAAUCAUAUAAUAUACGACAUUAUACGUCUAAUACUAGAGUUUGAUUGUUCGAUUUUGAGGGUGCUAAUAUACCUAUAAUGAACCACCUAUAUUUUUAUGCAAAAAUGUAUGAGGUCUUUUUUUUCUUGUGGGAUGUUAAAGGAUUGUGCGCUCCGGUGUAUUAUUCUAAUAUAUAAUUAUUACGUGUACUGUAAUGUAAUUUUUCUUCAGUCACACGGUAUUCUAUAUUAAAACU